rnacentral:tRNA from 2 species
UGCGGGAUGGAGCAGUCUGGUAGCUCGUUAGGCUCAUAACCUAAAGGUCGUUGGUUCAAAUCCAGCUCCCGCAUCCA